UACGAACUGUGCGAACGUUAUUCGGAAUCACUGGGCUUAAAGGGUGCGUAGGCGGCUGCCUAAGUCAGGUGUGAAAUCUCCCGGCUCAACCGGGAAACUGCGCUUGAUACUGGGCGGCUCGAGUGAGGUAGGGGUGUGUGGAACUUCCGGUGGAGCGGUGAAAUGUGUAGAUAUCGGAAGGAACGCCAGCAGCGAAAGCGGCACACUGGGCCUUUUCUGACGCUGGGGCACGAAAGCCAGGGGAGCGAACGGG
rnacentral:rRNA from 1 species